GCAAUGGGCGAAAGCUGACGGAGCAACGCCGCGUGAGUGAUGAAGGUCUUCGGAUCGUAAAACUCUGUUAUUAGGGAAGAACAAAUGUGUAAGUAACUAUGCACGUCUUGACGGUACCUAAUCAGAAAGCCACGGCUAACUACGUGCCAGCAGCCGCGGUAAUACGUAGGUGGCAAGCGUUAUCCGGAAUUAUUGGGCG
rnacentral:rRNA from 1 species